GUUGUAUGGUUAAGUGACUAAGCGUACACGGUGGAUGCCUUGGCAGUCAGAGGCGAUGAAGGACGUAUUAACUUGCGAUAAGCCCAGAUUAGGUAGUAAAAACCACUUGAGUCUGGG
rnacentral:rRNA from 1 species